rnacentral:rRNA from 1 species
UACCAGCACCCCGAGUGGUCGGGACGUUUUAUUGGGCCUAAAGCAUCCGUAGCCGGUUCUACAAGUCUUCCGUUAAAUCCAACUGCUUAACAGGUGGGCUGCGGAAGAUACUAUAGAGCUAGGAGGCGGGGAGAGGCAAGCGGUACUCGAUGGGUAGGGGUAAAAAUCCGUUGAUCCAUUGAAGACCACCAGUGGCGAAGGCGGCUUGCCAGAACGCGCUCGACGGUGAGGGAUGAAAGCUGGGGGGAGCAAACCGGG